AACUAGUAAUGCUUCUGGACCCAGCUGCAACAAAUUAUGAUUAAAUUAUUAAGAACAUGAUGUUCAAGAACCAGUUGGCAAGAGUGAUCAUCAUAAGGGUUAAAACCAACUACUACAUUUGGAGUUUAUAAGGUUAUACCACGAUCAGCAGGGGUGUUUUUUUGUGCCCACUUUCCCCUGGAAGAUUGAGCAGGGUCAAGUUAGGAUAACAUAGGAGUGUCGUAUUUGAUCAGUUUCCUGUCUCUGCAGCAACUUAGAAACAAUCUUUCCUGACUCCUGUGCUCCAAGACUUUGAACAUGUUACCAGAAUUCCUUUAAUAGCUCUUAAAAUUUGGCUCUCCAAAGUUUUUCCUUCAGCACUUGAAACCACUAGAUCAACUGUAGAUCCAGUGAUGGUGAAGGGAUAAAGUGUUUUUUCUCUUUUUCUCAGUAUAUUGACAAGGGAUUUGCAUAUCAGCUAUUGCACUUAAGUAAAAUUCAGGCAUAACUAACCUGCAACCCAAGUAAGCACAAGGCUAAUGUAAUAUUAAAUAACCAGAGACACCAUCAAGUUUCUGAGCUUAGGUGUAUGGAGGAGAGAUUUUUUUUUUUAUUUCAUAUCUUGUAUUACACAUCAUAUCUGGUUAUCCAGGCAACAGGAAGAUUUCAAGGAAAACAACUUUAUGUAAUUUCUAGAUCUAA